AUUGAACGCUGGCGGCAGGCCUAACACAUGCAAGUCGAGCGGAGCGGCGGACGGGUGAGUAAUGCCUAGGAAUCUUCCUGGUAGUGGUGGAUCACGUCCGGAAACGGGCGCUACUACCGCAUACUAUCAGAUGAGCCUAGGUCGGAUGCGCUAGUUGGUGGGGUAAAGGCCUACCAAGGCACCGAUCCGUACCUGGUCUGAGAGGAUGAUCAGUCAAACUGGAACUGAGAACCGGUCCAGACGCCGACGUGAGGCAGCAGUGGGGAAUAUUGGACAAGGGGCGAAAGCCGGAGCCAGCCAUGCCGCGUGUGUGAAGAAGGUCUUCGGAUUGUAAAGCACUUUAAGUUGGGAGGCGUUACCAACAGAAUAAGCACCGGCUAACUUCGUGCCAGCAGCCGCGGUAAUUC
rnacentral:rRNA from 1 species